rnacentral:rRNA from 1 species
CACGGGGGGAGCAAGCGUUGUUCGGAAUCACUGGGCGUAAAGGGCGUGCAGGCGGUCAGGUAAGUGAGAUGUGAAAUGCCCCGGCUCACCCGGGGACCGGCAUCUCAUACUGUUUGGCUUGAGACCGGAAGAGGUAAGUGGAACUGCGAGUGUAGAGGUGAAAUUCGUAGAUAUUCGCAAGAACACCAGUGGCGAAGGCGGCUUACUGGUCCGGUUCUGACGCUGAGGCGCGAAAGCGUGGGGAGCAAACAGG